rnacentral:rRNA from 1 species
UUAGCCUGCUAGUUGCACGAGUUCACACUCGUAGCAUAUAGCUCAGUAACACGUGGUCAAGCUACCCUGCAGACACGGACAACCUCGGGAAACUGAGGCUAAUCCGCGAUACCGAUCCCACGCUGGAAUGCCGGGAUCCACAAACGCUCCGGCGCUGCAGGAUGCGGCUGCGGCCGAUUAGGUAGACGGUGGGGUAACGGCCCACCGUGCCGAUAAUCGGUACGGGUUGUGAGAGCAAGAGCCCGGAGACGGAAUCUGAGACAAGAUUCCGGGCCCUACGGGGCGCAGCAGGCGCGAAACCUUUACACUGCACGCAAGUGCGAUAAGGGGACUCCGAGUGCGAGGGCAUAUAGUCCUCGCUUUUGAGAACCGUAAGGCGGUUCUCGAAUAAGAGCUGGGCAAGACCGGUGCCAGCCGCCGCGGUAAUACCGGCAGCUCAAGUGAUGGCCAAUCUUAUUGGGCCUAAAGCGUCCGUAGCUGGCCACGAAAGUCCGUCGGGAAAUCCAUCUGCCCAACAGAUGGGCGUCCGGCGGAAACUUCGUGGCUUGGGACCGGAAGGCUCGAGGGGUACGUCCGGGGUAGGAGUGAAAUCCCGUAAUCCUGGACGGACCGCCGAUGGCGAAAGCACCUCGAGAAGACGGAUCCGACAGUGAGGGACGAAAGCUAGGGUCUCGAACCGGAUUAGAUACCCGGGUAGUCCUAGCCGUAAACAAUGUUCACUAGGUGUGGCACAGGCUACGAGCCUGUGCUGUGCCGUAGGGAAGCCGAGAAGUGAACCGCCUGGGAAGUACGUCCGCAAGGAUGAAACUUAAAGGAAUUGGCGGGGGAGCACUACAACCGGAGGAGCCUGCGGUUUAAUUGGACUCAACGCCGGACAUCUCACCAGCUCCGACUACAGUAAUGACGAUCAG